rnacentral:rRNA from 1 species
UUUUAAAGACCUAGUAAUAGGUAUGCUUAAAGAGGAGCUUGCGUCACAUUAGUUAGUUGGUAGGGUAAAAGCCUACCAAGACUAUGAUGUGUAGCCGGGCUGAGAGGUCAAACGGCCACAUUGGGACUGAGACACGGCCCAAACUCCUACGGGAGGCAGCAGUAAGGAAUUUUCGGCAAUGGAGGAAACUCUGACCGAGCAACGCCGCGUGAACGAUGAAGUAUUUCGGUAUGUAAAGUUCUUUUAUUAGGGAAGAAAAGAUGGUGGAAAAACCAUUAUGACGGUACCUAAUGAAUAAGCCCCGGCUAACUAUGUGCCAGCAGCCGCGGUAAUACAUAGGGGGCAAGCGUUAUCCGGAAUUAUUGGGCGUAAAGGGUGCGUAGGCGGUUAAAUAAGUUUAUGGUCUAAGUGCAAUGCUCAACGUUGUGAUGCUAUAAAAACUGUUUAGCUAGAGUUGGAUAGAGGCAAGUGGAAUUCCAUGUGUAGUGGUAAAAUGCGUAAAUAUAUGGAGGAACACCAGGAGCGAAGGCGGCUUGCUGGGUCUUAACUGACGCUGAGGCACGAAAGCGUGGGGAGCAAACAGGAUUAGAUACCCUGGUAGUCCACGCCCUAAACGAUGAGUACUAAACGUUGGGUAAAACCAGUGUUGAAGUUAACACAUUAAGUACUCCGCCUGAGUAGUACGUACGCAAGUAUGAAACUUAAAGGAAUUGACGGGACUCCGCACAAGCGGUGGAUCAUGUUGUUUAAUUCGAAGGUACCCGAAAAACCUCACCAGGUCUUGACAUGCUUUUGCAAAGCUGUAGAAAUACAGUGGAGGUUAUCAAUUGCACAGGUGGUGCAUGGUUGUCGUCAGCUCGUGUCGUGAGAUGUUGGGUUAAGUCCCGCAACGAGCGCAACCCUUGUUGUUAAUUGCCAGCAUGUAAUGAUGGGGACUUUAGCAAGACUGCCAGUGAUAAAUUGGAGGAAGGUGGGGACGACGUCAAAUCAUCAUGCCCCUUAUGACCUGGGCUACAAACGUGAUACAAUGGCUGUUACAAAGGGUAGCUAAAGCGCAAGCUUCUGGCGAAUCUCAAAAAAGCAGUCUCAGUUCGGAUUGAAGUCUGCAACUCGACUUCAUGAAGUUGGAAUCGCUAGUAAUCGCGAAUCA